GAUGAACGCUGGCGGCGUGCCUAAUACAUGCAAGUCGAGCGAACGGACGAGAAGCUUGCUUCUCUGAUGUUAGCGGCGGACGGGUGAGUAACACGUGGAUAACCUACCUAUAAGACUGGGAUAACUUCGGGAAACCGGAGCUAAUACCGGCUAAUAUUUUGAACCGCAUGGUUCAAAAGUAAAAGACGGUCUUGCUGUCACUUAUAGAUGGAUCCGCGCUGCAUUAGCUAGUUGGUAAGGUAACGGCUUACCAAGGCAACGAUGCAUAGCCGACCUGAGAGGGUGAUCGGCCACACUGGAACUGAGACACGGUCCAGACUCCUACGGGGGGCAGCAGUAGGGAAUCUUCCGCAAUGGGCGAAAGCCUGACGGAGCAACGCCGCGUGAGUGAUGAAGGUCUUCGGAUCGUAAAACUCUGUUAUUAGGGAAGAACAUAUGUGUAAGUAACUGUGCACAUCUUGACGGUACCUAAUCAGAAAGCCACGGCUAACUACGUG
rnacentral:rRNA from 1 species